CCACCACCACCACCAUCACCACGACCCACCCAUCCGGCAUUCCCGGACCCUCAAUAAUGACAGGCCUCCAGGCGGACCAGGACCCACCGUGCCCUCCAGGACCCGCCACCACCCGUCCACCCAUCCUCCACUGGAGAGGCAAGCACAGCCCUCCCCAUAUUCAGCAGGCGGAAGCAGGGCCAAGCAGCCCUUCAGGCCCCAGCACGGACAGCUACCAGUGCUGGAGCAGCCCUGAGCCCCCGGAGCCAACCCUAUACUAUGCAUCCUGCUCCUCCAAUGAGGAGGUGGCAGCAGCACUGCCUCCUGUAUGGACCAGGCCUCUCC